rnacentral:rRNA from 1 species
CCUACGGGGGCUGCAGUGGGGAAUAUUGGACAAUGGGCGAAAGCCUGAUCCAGCCAUGCCGCGUGUGUGAAGAAGGCCUUCGGGUUGUAAAGCACUUUCAGUGGGGAAGAAAGCCUUGGGGCUAAUACCCUCGAGGAAGGACAUCACCCACAGAAGAAGCACCGGCUAACUCCGUGCCAGCAGCCGCGGUAAUACGGAGGGUGCGAGCGUUAAUCGGAAUUACUGGGCGUAAAGCGCGCGUAGGCGGUCUGAUAAGCCGGUUGUGAAAGCCCCGGGCUCAACCUGGGAACGGCAUCCGGAACUGUCAGGCUAGAGUGCAGGAGAGGAAGGUAGAAUUCCCGGUGUAGCGGUGAAAUGCGUAGAGAUCGGGAGGAAUACCAGUGGCGAAGGCGGCCUUCUGGACUGACACUGACGCUGAGGUGCGAAAGCGUGGGUAGCAAACAGGAUUAGAUACCCCGUAGUC